rnacentral:lncRNA from 1 species
CAAAAUAUUUUCUAAGAUUGCUUCCCCUAUUGUCUUUCCUCCUUUUUAUCUAGACCUUCUCUUUAUUUUGCUCUUACUGUCUCCAUCUUGCUUAAUUUACAUCCUCGUGUCAGUAGUUUAUUUUUUGCGUGUGUCUUUGUCUAGGAAAAGAGCUCAGGUUCUUGUCUUUGUUUUGUUUUCUUUUAGUUUUGAGCAUUUUUAAGCCUAAGACUGCUUCAGCCUUCUCACCUUGCUGCGAAUCCCAUAUUCUCACUGUAUUAAUUGUGCAAAAUUCUCUCAGUUGCAGCUACUUUUUCAAAUUGGUCUGCCACCCUUUUCAGUAAAUGCCUGUUAGAUGUUUUCGGAUUCACUCUACUGCUUUUCUUUUCUUCCUCCCACAGAACUACUGAUGUCACUCUUUACUUACAACUAUUGAUGUUUCGUCCCCAUCUGCUCACAUUUUGCUGUUCAUGUCGAUAAUUUAUCACCAGUGAGGAAGAUUGGCCCUGAGCUAACAUCUGUGCCAAUCUUCUUCUAUUUUGUAAGUGGGAUGCUUCCAAAGCAUGGCUUGAUGAGCAAUGUGUAUGUCCAUGCCUGGGAUCCAAACCUGCAAACCCUGGGCCGCCAAAGCAGAGAAUGUGAACUUAACCACUAUGCCACCAGGCACAAUGCGAUUGGAGAAGCACUAUCCCAGAUGCCUUGUGAGCCAGCAGAUACACCAAGCAGAGACGGUGAAUCAGGGCCAGCUUAAUCCACGAAGCUCAGCAGACACAGUGCCUAGAGCUCACACUUUAAGGAGCCCAUGAAGUCAUUUUCAUUUCUUUUAAAACAAUAAUUAAAAAGUAAACUUUGCAUAGAAUAUUUUAAUAUAUAAUCCUAGUAUAUUCAGCUUGUUACAAGCACAACUGUAAAAUAUGAUUUUUCGUGUUUUUUUUAUGGAAGAAGAGGCCCAGGAAACCAUAGGUUCCCAGGGCUCACAAAAAUCAUAAUACAGCUUCGUGAUGAAGAAGAAAACACUCUCAAAUGAAAGAAAUCCUAGACAGUGUCUCAGGGGCAUCUCCUUUUUUAUCUGUGUCAUUAAUUGUUUGAUCUGUUUUUCAGAAAGGCUAUAAACUCCUCCAGAAAAGAUCUUAAUAGAAAUCAAUAAU